rnacentral:rRNA from 1 species
UACGUAGGUGGCAAGCGUUGUCCGGAAUUAUUGGGCGUAAAGAGCGCGUAGGUGGCUUGUCAGGUCCGAUGUGAAAUUUUGGGGCUCAACCCCGAACCUGCAUCGGAAACCGGCUUGCUAGAGUCUGGGAGAGGAGAGUGGAAUUCCUGGUGUAGCGGUGAAAUGCGUAGAUAUCAGGAGGAACACCGGUAGCGAAGGCGGCUCUCUGGAACAGUACUGACACUGAGGCGCGAAAGCUAGGGGAGCGAACAGGAUUAGAUACC